rnacentral:tRNA from 1 species
CAAGAAAGUGACAGAGUGGUGAUGUGGUUGGCUUGAAACCGACUUAUGGGGGUUCAAUUCCUUCCUUUCUUG